AGAGUUUGAUCCUGGCUCAGGACGAACGCUGGCGGCGUGCUUAAUACAUGCAAGUCAACUGAACUUAAGAUAGCAAUAUUUUAAGGGAGGUGGCGCACGGGUGAGUAACACGUAGGUAAUCUGCCUUUAGGUCUGACACAACCCCGAGAAAUCGGGGCUAAUAUCAGAUGAUGCAGCGGCUCGACAUCGAGACAGUUGUUAAACCUUCGGGGCCUAAAGAUGAGCCUGCGUCUGAUUAGGUAGUUGGCGGAGUAAAAGCCCACCAAGCCUGCGAUCAGUAGCUGGUCUGAGAGGAUGAUCAGCCACACUGGAACUGAGACACGGUCCAGACUCCUACGGGAGGCAGCAGUAAGGAAUAUUGCUCAAUGGCCCGAAACGCUGAAGCAGCAACGCCGCGUGGAGGAUGAAAUACUUUUGUAUGUAAACCUCCUGUAAGCAAGGGAAAAAUAUUCCGAUUUUAU
rnacentral:rRNA from 1 species